GAACAUCUGUUGAACAUCUGCAGCCUCCACCAUGAAGACGCUGGCUCUGUCUGUGCUUGUGUGUGUCCUGAUGGCUCUGACUCGAUCUGCCGCUCAUGCACAAGGAUUGAGGGAUGGAUAUGAGCCUCGGGUCGUUGCUGCCUCCAGCGAUGGAGGUGACAUGGGUAAAGCUGAUGGACUGGAAUGAGUGUG